rnacentral:misc_RNA from 1 species
CGGAGAUCAUUACCGAGUGAGGGCCCUCUGGGUCCAACCUCCCACCCAUGUUUAUUGUACCUUGUUGCUUCGGCGGGCCCGCCUCACGGCCGCCGGGGGGCUUCUGCCCUCUGGCCCGCGCCCGCCGAAGACACCAUUGAACACUGUCUGAAGAUUGCAGUCUGAGCAAUUAGCUAAAUAAGUUAAAACUUUCAACAACGGAUCUCUUGGUUCCGGCAUCGAUGAAGAACGCAGCGAAAUGCGAUACGUAAUGUGAAUUGCAGAAUUCAGUGAAUCAUCGAGUCUUUGAACGCACAUUGCGCCCCUUGGUAUUCCGGGGGGCAUGCCUGUCCGAGCGUCAUUGCUGCCCUCAAGCACGGCUUGUGUGUUGGGCCCCGUCCUCCUUCCCGGGGGACGGGCC